UCCCUGAUGGUCCAGUGGUUAAGACUUGGCACUUUCACUGCCAGGGCCCGGGUUCAAUCCCCGGUGGGGGAA